CAGCAGCCGCGGGAAAACAGAGGGUGCGAGCGUUAAUCGGAUUUACUGGGCGUAAAGCGUGCGUAGGCGGCUUUUUAAGUCGGAUGUGAAAUCCCUGAGCUUAACUUAGGAAUUGCAUUCGAUACUGGGAAGCUAGAGUAUGGGAGAGGAUGGUAGAAUUCCAGGUGUAGCGGUGAAAUGCGUAGAGAUCUGGAGGAAUACCGAUGGCGAAGGCAGCCAUCUGGCCUAAUACUGACGCUGAGGUACGAAAGCAUGGGGAGCAAACAGGAUUAGAGACCCCCGUAGUCCCUGUCUCUUAUAC
rnacentral:rRNA from 1 species